rnacentral:rRNA from 1 species
CCUACGGGUGGCUGCAGUGGGGAAUAUUGCACAAUGGGGGAAACCCUGAUGCAGCGACGCCGCGUGAGUGAAGAAGUAUCUCGGUACGUAAAGCUCUAUCAGCAGGGAAGAAAAUGACGGUACCUGACUAAGAAGCCCCGGCUAACUACGUGCCAGCAGCCGCGGUAAUACGUAGGGGGCAGGCGUUAUCCGGAUUUACUGGGUGUAAAGGGGGCGUAGACGGCAGCACAAGUCUGGAGUGAAAUCCCGGGGCUUAACCCCGGAACUGCUUUGGAAACCGUGCGGCUGGAGUGCAGGAGGGGUAAGCGGAAUUCGUAGGGUAGCGGUGAAAUGCGUAGAUAUUAGGAGGAACACCGGUGGCGAAGGCGGCUUACUGGACUGUAACUGACGUUGAGGCUCGAAAGCGUGGGGAGCAAACAGGAUUAGAUACCCGUGUAGUC